rnacentral:rRNA from 1 species
AGUGAACGCUGGCGGUAGGCCUAACACAUGCAAGUCGAACGGCAGCACAGUAAGAGCUUGCUCUUACGGGUGGCGAGUGGCGGACGGGUGAGGAAUACAUCGGAAUCUACUUUUUCGUGGGGGAUAACGUAGGGAAACUUACGCUAAUACCGCAUACGACCUACGGGUGAAAGCAGGGGAUCUUCUGACCUUACGCGAUUGAAUGAGCCGAUGUCGGGUUAGCUAGUUGGCGGGGUAAAGGCCCACCAAGGCGGCGAUCCGUAGCUGGUCUGAGAGGAGGAUCGGCCACACUGGAACUGGGACACGGUCCAGACUCCUACGGGAGGCAGCAGUGGGGAAUAUGGGACAAUGGGGGCAAGCCUGAUCCAGCCAUACCGCGUGUGUGAAGAAGGCCUUCGGGUUGUAAAGCCCUUUUGUUGGGAAAGAAAAGCAGCAGGUUAAUACCCCGCUGUUCUGACGGUACCCAAAGAAUAAGCACCGGCUAACUUCGUG